rnacentral:tRNA from 1 species
GCGGAUGUGGCGGAAUUGGUAGACGCACUGGAUUUAGGUUCCAGCGCCGAAAGGCGUGGGGGUUCGAGUCCCUUCAUCCGCACCA